rnacentral:rRNA from 1 species
UGUCCGGAACUGCCCAGAGAUGGGCGGGUGCCUUCGGGAAUCGGAACACGAGGUGCUGCAUGGCUGUCGUCAGCUCGUGUCGUGAGAUUGUUGGGGUUAAGUCCCGCAACGAGCGCAACCCUUGUCCUUAGUUGCCAGCACGUAAUGGUGGGAACUCUAAGGAGACUGCCGGUGACAAACCGGAGGAAGGUGGGGAUGACGUCAAGUCAUCAUGGCCCUUACGGCCAGGGCUACACACGUACUACAAUGGGAGGUACAGAGGGAAGCAAUGCCGCGAGGCGGAGCCAAUCCCAGAAAACCUCUCUCAGUCCGGAUCGCAGUCUGCAACUCGACUGCGUGAAGUCGGAAUCGCUAGUAAUCGCGAAUCAGCAUUGUCGCGGUGAAUACGUUCCCGGGCCUUGUACACACCGCCCGUCACACCAUGGGAGUUGGUUGCUCCAGAAGCAGGUAGCCUAACCGCAAGGAGGGCGCUUGCCACGGAGUGGUCAAUGACUGGGGUGAAGUCGUAACAAGGUAAGCGUAGCGAG